rnacentral:rRNA from 1 species
UACGUAGGGGGCGAGCGUUGUCCGGAUUUACUGGGCGUAAAGAGCGCGUAGGCGGAGAUCUAAGCGUGGCCUGAAAGCCCCCGGCUCAACCGGGGAGUGCGGCUGCGAACUGGGUUUCUUGAGGACGAUAGAGGAGAGUGGAAUUCCUGGUGUAGCGGUGAAAUGCGUAGAUAUCAGGAGGAACACCAGUGGCGAAGGCGCCGCUCUGGGCCGUAACUGACGCUGAGAAGCGAAAGCGUGGGGAGCAAACAGG